UGAUUACUAGUUGUUAAUUAGUUCUAGAAUCAAGAAAUGACACUAAAGAAACAAGGAAAUGAUACUUAGAAUCUGAAAUUUGAGCUUAAGCUUUUUGGGUGAAGUGAUGAUGUGGCAGCCUUUGGUUGGUUGAUGUUUUGAAAAAAAUUUCUUGUAUUCAACUUGUAUUCAAUCAAUAUUCAACUUAGGAGGAAGGUAGGAUCAGUUUUGAUGAAGAAAAC
rnacentral:lncRNA from 1 species